AUGGGCCGCAUGAUCUGAGGACAGUGGAAGGGUGCCAGGUCUGCGUUCCCCGCCCAGGUGAAGCACCACCAGGGCAUCGCGCGCCUGCACGCCAUGGACUUCCCCCAGCUGCUACAAGAGCACAGUGAAGGACGCUAUCCACUACCCGGGCUGCGGUGCACCCCUCGCCAAGGUGGUCUUCCGGGAUUUGUACCGGUUUAAGAAGUGGAAGGAGCUGUUCAUUGCUGCUGAGGGUAUUCACAUGGGUCAGUGUGUGUAUUGCAGCAAGAAGGUCCAGCUCAACAUUGGCAGUGUAGACACCAUGCCUGAGGGUACGACCGUGUGCUGCUUGAAGGCCAAGCCUGAAGACUGUGGCAAGCUGGCCCGGGCAUCAGGGAACGAUGCCUCCAUUAUCUUCCACAACCCUGAGACCCAGAAGACCCAUGAAGCUGCCCUCUGGCUCCAAGAAGGUUAUCUCCUCAGCCAACAGAGCUGCGGGUGGUGUAGUGGCCACAGGUGGCCGAAUUGACAUAAGCCAUCUUGAAGGCUGGCCGGGCCCACCACAAAUAUAAGGCAAAGAGAAACCGCUGGCCACGAGUACGGGGUGUGGCCAUGAACCUUGUGGAGCAUCGUUUCAGAGGUGGCAAACACCAGCACAUCGGCAAGCCCUCCACCAUCCGCAGAGAUGCCCCUGCUGGCCACAAAGUGGGUCGCAUUGCUGCCCGCCAGACUGGACGUCUCCGGGGAGCUGAGACUGUGCAGGAGAAAGAGAACUAGUGAUGAGGCGCUCAAUAAAGUUUGUCCUU